AAAGAUAAGCAGUUAUUGUUGUUAAUAAUUAUUUAAUUUGUCAUGAAAGGUGACUACUCUAGUUCUUCCCUUCCUUUAGAAAUUGAUCAAGAAAGGGCUCUUGUGUUUAUCACAAAGUCCUGGUGACCAGGAAUUCUGUGUUGUAUUUGUGGAUGUGACAUACUCAAGUCUAUGUGCAUUUUGAGUCCUGAACAGCACGUAAUGCAUUCUCAGCACUAAAUAAUUGAUGGUGAUAAUUAAGCAUGAAAAAGUCACAUGGGCUCUCUGUGCUUCUCCUUUGGUAUUCCUGCAGUUGGGUUCGUUCUUACUGUAUAUCAUUCAUUGAUAACUCAUAGUUAAAAGCAUCAAUAAACUAUAGAUGUUUCUGAUUUCUCUACUCUGCAAAAUAGUGUUUAUCUGAUAAAUGUCAGGAUUGAAAAUAUUAACUACAUGUUUAACUUUCAGUGUUUCAUACUUCCCUUAAGAGAUGUACCACUGAAUGCUUAGAAACCUGAUUUUAAAUAGGUAUAUUUUUUAAAGGAGACUUAAGAGCGAUAUCAAAAAAUCACAUUCAGCAUUUUAAAUGCACUAUUUCUAAGAAUGUUUUGUUGAAUUAUAUGGUAGAAGACUUUUUGUAUUAUGAAUACCCAUGGGCAAAUUGGAAGCAUAAACUUGGAUUUUCUCAUGUUUAAAUGACUUAAAGACAAGUUGUAUAUUUUUAUUCAUUGUUACGGAUUUGUUUCCUCUUCAUGAUAAAUUUAUGUGCAGGUCUGAUUGUACAGUUUAAAGUUUGGUCUACAUUUUGUUUCUUCCUGGCUGAGCACCUCUGUGUUGAGUGCUAAUAGGUUUUUUUUUUAAUCUAGGUUAACUACUGUGAGAUAGUGGGGCCCCAAUGAAACAUAUAAGCAUACCUUUUAAAAUGUUGCCAAAUAGUCUUCAGAGAACAUACUUAAUACAAAAAUGCUGUGCAGACAUCAUUCCGAUUGAUCGACUGAUGGAUGACUCCACAGUUUGGAUUAGAGAGAGUAAGAAUUAGCCAGCCAGCAUGAUUUGAAAAUGUCACAGGAGGGUGCCAGCAGGAUGAUGUCAGCCCUUGCUUUGGCCUAUGCAGCAUAGCACAGUCAUUUCAUAAAGAAUUGAUACUAUGACACAGGGUGCUGGAUGUGCAUUGGGCACAUCUGUAAUUAUAGAACUGAGUUUCUGAAUGAGUCAAAACAAGGUUUAGUUAGUUCAUAAUGUUCAAAAAUAGCUGUUUUUAAAUUAGACUCUGCUAAUUUAAAUUAUUGUUUAAAAAAUUAGCAUUUUCAGUGGCUGCUUUAUAUUCCUUUAGAGCAAUGGCCUACAUGUUUAAUAUAGUCAUUUUGAAUAGGCAUUGCUUUUUAUUCAUGUAAAGUCUGUAUUUCCCUCUAUCUUAGUAGCCUGGUAAAAACUGAACCCUGAUUUCCAGUAUUCAGUUGUUUAAAGAUUAGUAUAUUAACUCUGUAUUUUUAAGAAAUUUUCCCAGUGAAAGAAUUUUCUGAAAAGAAUGUCAUAGGAAAAUCUAGGCUAAUACUUCUCUACACAGCACUCAGUAUUUGAUAUUGCUCUACAGAGUAAUUUAAGUUAUAGAGUCCAUUGAAUCUUGUGGCUGGGUUGGAUAUUACCCAAAGCUGCAUUCAAAGGAAGAGCAGUGGUAAUAUCUAAAUAUAUAGUUUGAACUAUAUAUGUGGACAUAACUUACAAAUAUUAAAAUAAAAGUAGUCAUAUAUAUAACCAAACAUUUCCUCUGUACUGAGGUAUAUUCAGUAUUAUACUAUGUACAUUUAAAAAGUAACCCUGUAAGUUACACUAAUGCAGGAGUUUGUAUGGAAGUACGCAUGUUCGCAGGAUUUCAGAGGCACUUUCUUAAUAAUGUGUUAAUGGUGUUAAUGUCCGUUUUAUUUAUUCUUUGGAUUUUUUUGUUUUCAUUUUUGGGUUUUUGUUGUUGUUACAUAAAAUAAAACUAUAUAAGGCUAUUUGUGCCCUAUAUAAAAUAGCUAUUUUAAAGAGAAUUUUAAAGUGUCAUAUUGUCUUAUGUGCCCAUGCAUUUAUAUAGUGGUCAGAAGUGUGUCUUAUAAAUAGUAUAAUCAUGUAGUAACGUCCCCUGUACCUGAGUUUCAGUGCAUUUAAGGGGCGUAAUUGCAGGGUCUUUUAAUACACAGUUUACUAUCUAGAAGUACUUACCUUAGCAGGCAAUUGUUUUUGUUUUUUCUUUUUUUUAAAAAAAAGUAUGGUAAACCUUCAUACUUUAGUUUUACAAAGUAAUAAUAAACUGUUUUGAUAUUAACAUGUUUUAAUUUGUAUAGCACUUUAUAUUCAAGACAUUUUACACAUAUAUUUCUGAUUUGACACUUAUUUGUUAAAUGCUUUAUUUUAUCUGGCUCAUAGUAGAAGACUAUUACAGUGACCUGCAGAAAAAAAUAUUGACUCUGGGCAACUAGUGAGAUUUACAACUUUACUAUUAAAUAAGCUUUUUUAUUACAACUCUUUUGAAACCAAACAUAUUGAGAUCAUUUCCUUUUGUAGGGCUUAAAUAUGUAUUUCCCACCUUAUUUUCCUGUUCCAUCUACUCAUAUUGUUGUUAACUAAAUGUUAACCAUUUAAAUAAGUUUCCCUUCUUUCUCUCUUAAUUAGAAGAGAGGGGAACCAUGCUCAGAUCAAAUAGGAAUGUCUGUUUACACUUUUGUAAUCAGUCACUUUAUUAUGUUAAUUCUAGUUCUACCUAUGUUGUAAUUUUAAUAGAAUUCUUCAAGAGUCUCCAGGUAGGAUAUCAUUAAUACUGCUAAUUUAAUCCUCUUAAAAUAUUUGCCAGGAAAGGUUUUUCUACAGUUUUUAUCAUGUGUUCCAACCCUAAGUAUCUAAAUUUUUAUUAUGACGAAAUUUUAUUAUGACCAAUAAUGAUCUUUCCAUAUUUGUGUUAAUGAUAAAAUAUUCCUGUUUGUAGCUUAUACAUAUAUACAUAUUUUUUCUAACCUAUAAUGCUUUUAGAAGUUAUCCUAAAAUCCAACUUGAUAUUCAUAUGAUAAACAGAAUUCAGAAAUUAAGAAUUUUUAAAGGAGCUGGGUGUGGUGGCUCAUGCCUGUAAUCCCAGCACUUUGGGAGGCUGAGGUAGGUGGAUCACUUGAGGCCAGGAGUUCAAGACCAGCCUGACAACAUGGUGAAACCGCAUCUUCAGUGAAAAUACAAAAAAUUAGCCAGGUAUGGUGGUGCACACGUGUAGUCCCAGCUGCUUGGGAGGCUGAGGCAGGAGAAUUGCUUGAACCUGGGAGGUGGAGGUUGCAGUGAGCCAAGAUGGCACUCCAGCCUGGGCAGCAGAGCAAGACUCUGACUCAAAAAAAAAAAAAAAAAAAAAAAAAGAAUUUAAAAAGGAAUUUAAAAAGGAAUUUAAAAGAAUUUAAAAAGGAAUUAGAUUAUUCUAGGUGUAUCUUUUUUCCAUGUAAAAUGGAAUGAUGGUUAGCUGUUUUCAAAAAACAAGACAUUUAAAUUAUAGUACAAAACACCUUUUUAAAGUGUGUAGAGGCUAGAAGCAUGGUAUACAGUAUUUGCCAUUUUAAUUAUAAGCCACCUCUUAAAUAUAUUCAUUUCCUAGUCAUUACUGCUUAAAAAAAAAUGCUUCCCAACUAAAAUUUAUGCUACUUUAGGAUAAACAAAAUUUUUUCCAAUUAUAUAAAGAUGUCAACUUUAGUUAUUUUUUAUAUAAUUAUUUUUUAUAUUUAGUUAUUUUUUAUAAUUACUACCUUUUAAUAUAAAACAGAAAAUGACGAACUAUGUUCAGGUGGCUUAUGCUUAUAGUAAAAGUUACCUUUUCUUGUAGUUCAUUCACCUUUUUAAGAUAAAUGAAGUUGCAAGUCUAGAAAUUGUCUUCUCUCUUGUACUAACAAAAAGAUAGAAGGGUUUGUAAGGGAGAAAAAGUAGAUUUGGCAGUUGAUUAAAAAUAAAAGGAUGGUAACAUAGUACAUGAAUGAUCAAAAGGAAGUGGAACAAGGAGAUGCAUAUCUUUCCAUCUGAAAAGCACCCUUUUGCUUUAGAGAUUAUUUUUCUAUUAUAACAGACACCAUAAGAAUGGAGGUUCAAAAGUAUAAUUGUCAGCCCUCUGAUACACUUACAUUAAAUAAUUAAUGAUUCAAAAUUUCCAGCAUUUUUGUAAUGGAAUGUAACUUAUAAUGUGAUUUUGACUUUUAGCCCCUUCCAUGUAUACAUCAGUCACUGUUCUGCUGCUAUUGCUACCUUUUCUACCUCUUAAUAUGAAGAGAUUUACAGGAGGUGGAAAGAAAUACAUGCUCCCAAAUGGCUUGAGUUUAAAACGACAGUACUUUCCAACCUUUUUCACAUCAUGGUACACAGAGAAAAUUAUGAAAUUUGUCACAACACACUAGGGCAAGCAGAUGAAGCUGCUCUUGUCCAAAUGAGACUGCCAAGGAGCUCCAGCUAUUCCAGACCCUGUCCAGCCAUCCUAGACCCUGUCCAGCCAUCCUUCAGCAUGAGGGGAUUAGAACAAAUGUGGAUGAGAACAGGAUGAGAACAAAUGUGCCUAGAUAUUUGUUGGAAUAUCUAGGUUGGAAUAUCUGAGGUUGGAAUCCUCAGCCGAACUACAGAAGUCUACAGUGUGGUCUGAGCUUUAAGAGUUUAGACUGGCAUACGUGACUGGCUACUAGGGAAAUAAAUGAAUGUGGAAUUGAGGAUGGAACAAAGAAUUCAAUGCUUUACAAUAAAUGGACUGUAUUUGAGAGUUCAAGAGAGGAUUGGAGAAAAUAACUGAGUAUGUAAAAAAU